rnacentral:rRNA from 1 species
CCUACGGGGGACAGCAGUAGGGAAUAUUGCUCAAUGGGGGAAACCCUGAAGCAGCAACGCCGCGUGGAGGAUGAAGGUUUUCGGAUUGUAAACUCCUUUUGUUAGAGAAGAUAAUGACGGUAUCUAACGAAUAAGCACCGGCUAACUCCGUGCCAGCAGCCGCGGUAAUACGGAGGGUGCAAGCGUUACUCGGAAUCACUGGGCGUAAAGGGCGCGUAGGCGGGAUAGCAAGUCAGAUGUGAAAUCCUAUGGCUUAACCAUAGAACUGCAUUUGAAACUGUUAUUCUAGAGUAUGGGAGAGGUAGGUGGAAUGCUUGGUGUAGGGGUAAAAUCCGUAGAGAUCAAGAGGAAUACUGAUUGCGAAGGCGACCUGCUAGAACAUAACUGACGCUGAUGCGCGAAAGCGUGGGGAGCAAACAGGAUUAGAUACCCGAGUAGUC